rnacentral:rRNA from 1 species
AUUGAACGCUGGCGGCAUGCCUUACACAUGCAAGUCGAACGGCAGCACGGGGGCAACCCUGGUGGCGAGUGGCGGACGGGUGAGUAAUGCAUCGGAACGUGCCCUGAAGUGGGGGAUAACGCAGCGAAAGCUACGCUAAUACCGCAUAUUCUGUGAGCAGGAAAGCAGGGGAUCGCAAGACCUUGCGCUUUGGGAGCGGCCGAUGUCGGAUUAGCUAGUUGGUGGGGUAAAGGCCUACCAAGGCGACGAUCCGUAGCGGGUCUGAGAGGAUGAUCCGCCACACUGGGACUGAGACACGGCCCAGACUCCUACGGGAGGCAGCAGUGGGGAAUUUUGGACAAUGGGCGAAAGCCUGAUCCAGCCAUGCCGCGUGAGUGAAGAAGGCCUCGGUUGU